rnacentral:tRNA from 1 species
GGGCGUGUAGCUCAGUGGGAGAGCACCUCGUUGACAUCGAGGGGGUCGCAAGUUCAAUCCUUGCCACGCCCACCA